GGAUUCCUACGGGGGGCAGCAGUGGGGAAUAUUGCACAAUGGGGGGAACCCUGAUGCAGCGACGCCGCGUGAAGGAAGAAGUAUUUCGGUAUGUAAACUUCUAUCAGCAGGGAAGAAAAUGACGGUACCUGAGUAAGAAGCCCCGGCUAACUACGUGCCAGCAGCCGCGGUAAUACGUAGGGGGCAAGCGUUAUCCGGAUUUACUGGGUGUAAAGGGAGCGUAGACGGCGAUGCAAGUCUGAAGUGAAAGCCCGGGGCUCAACCCCGGGACUGCUUUGGAAACUGUAUGGCUGGAGUGCUGGAGG
rnacentral:rRNA from 1 species